rnacentral:pre_miRNA from 9 species
UCUCGACAGCGUAAGAGUUAACUCAACUUUGUAUGGAGCUAGAAUGUUUGCCUACGUUUUCCGUUAGGGGCGCUAUUCCAGCUGCAUACAAAUUUGAGUUAACUUUUACGCUAUCGA